GGGAAUGUGGCUCAGAUGCUAGAGUGCUUGCCUAACGAGCAUGAAGUCCUGGGUUCCAUCCCGCCCGAUCCCA
rnacentral:tRNA from 1 species